CCCGCUCCUCCGCCCUAUUUUUUCUGUGCCUGCUUGCUUGCUCCGUUUGUGGCUCAGUGCUGUCGAUUGCGUUGCAUGUGCUUCGCGGUUCCUGCAAUGCUAAUUCUGUUUGUUGUCUCGUUGUUCUUCAGUCCCCACCUUGUUUUAGGUCAUGUGCUUCUCGCGUCUCCAUUCGUUAGAUACAAAGUUAGGUGAGAUGUCCAGGAAUAAUAUGUGGUUGGUAUACCGUGUCUUGUAUUUGGGCGAGCUCAUGCUAAUAUGUGGUUGGUACACUACCUGGGCAAGGUCAUUUUGAUACUGAUACUUGUGGGCAACAUAGGGUUCAAAGCCUGACCAUCUACUCAGGUGCUUAAUUACGCCCCACGCUUCUUCGUUCCUUGUUCAAAUAUGAUUGGAGUAUCUUUAUCUCCCGUCUCAUGGAUCCUGAUAAUAUCCCAGAAGUAAAUAUUGUUGCUUGCUUCAUCUCUACUACUUUCUGUAACUGCUUAGUGUUAAGCUCUUGACUAUGCAUGUGUGGGUAGUUCUGAACAUUUGCUACUAACUGACGCCAAGCACAUCCAAUUGUGGUUCACUGCAGAUUGCCAAUGCCAAUUUACCAAUGAUUUCAGGUCUGCGAAAGUUGGAUUUUGGAUAGGCUUUCAAGAGUGUGACCGAAGCAGAGACACACACAUGUUUGUACGCUUGAAUUCUGAUGCCACCACCUAAUACUGCAGAUCCGUAGAGGCCAUGAAUGGCCUAGUGUGUUUCAGGCAGCGCGACAGCAAUUCUUCGUCCUCAAAGCAUAUAUUUUCUCCAAGCGAUCAACAAAGUGAUUGGUCCAUUUGGAAGGGUCGAAUGGGCGCGCGCGGCGGAGAUCGGGUGCGGGGCGUCGCUGUCGCCGUCGAUGACACGGUUCGGGAUCGCCACGCUCUUCAACGCCACGUCGUCUGCCGUCUCGGAGGCCGCCGCCGCCAACGCCGCGUCGGGCAUCGUCCACGCGAUGCCGCGGACCGAGCCUGUUGUGUCUGCCGAGUGGCUACACGCCAACCCUAGGGACCCCAAUGUGAAGGUACUUGAUGCCUCUUGGUCAGAAGAUGAUGGCGAGUUCCUCAUUCCAAUUGAGUUUAUAUUGUGUAGGUUUCUUCAUCAUGAUCUGGAUUGCCGCAGUCAUGUUCAAGUCCAAUGAUAUCUUGCGCAAGCAAACCGCUCUCAAGAUACAACGGUCCGGCAAGCUGCUAUGGUGGUCAAGUGUCUGCUGCCUAGGAAAAUAGAUAUUUAGUUUUAGGUCAUUUCUUGUAAUGUCAGAUAUGGAGUGCUUGUCUUUAGUUUUUUGUUUUUACUUUGUGAAACUUGCUACCUAUGGAUGACACUGUGUAAUAUUGAUGAAACUAUGUAUAUGUAUGGAUGAAACUUGCUACUAUUGGUAACAUGUGUUGGAUAUCC